rnacentral:rRNA from 1 species
UACGUAGGGUGCGAGCGUUGUCCGGAAUUAUUGGGCGUAAAGAGCUCGUAGGCGGUGUGUCACGUCGGCCGUGAAAACCUGCAGCUUAACUGUGGGCGUGCGGUCGAUACGGGCAUCACUGGAGUUCGGCAGGGGAGACUGGAAUUCCUGGUGUAGCGGUGAAAUGCGCAGAUAUCAGGAGGAACACCCGUAGCGAAGGCGGCACUCUGGGCCGGUACUGACGCUGAGGAGCGAAAGCGUGGGGAGCAAACAGG